rnacentral:rRNA from 1 species
GGAAACGAUAGCUAAUACCGCAUAACAGUAGAUAUUGCAUGAUAUCUGCUUGAAAGGUGCAAAUGCAUCACUACCAGAUGGACCUGCGUUGUAUUAGCUAGUUGGUGAGGUAACGGCUCACCAAGGCGACGAUACAUAGCCGACCUGAGAGGGUGAUCGGCCACACUGGGACUGAGACACGGCCCAGACUCCUACGGGAGGCAGCAGUAGGGAAUCUUCGGCAAUGGGGGGAACCCUGACCGAGCAACGCCGCGUGAGUGAAGAAGGUUUUCGGAUCGUAAAGCUCUGUUGUUAAGGAAGAACGAGUGUGAGAAUGGAAAGUUCAUACUGUGACGGUACUUAACCAGAAAGGGACGGCUAACUACGUGCCAGCAGCCGCGGUAAUACGUAGGUCCCGAGCGUUGUCCGGAUUUAUUGGGCGUAAAGCGAGCGCAGGCGGUUAGAUAAGUCUGAAGUUAAAGGCAGUGGCUCAACCAUUGUAGGCUUUGGAAACUGUUUAACUUGAGUGCAGAAGGGGAGAGUGGAAUUCCAUGUGUAGCGGUGAAAUGCGUAGAUAUAUGGAGGAACACCGGUGGCGAAAGCGGCUCUCUGGUCUGUAACUGACGCUGAGGCUCGAAAGCGUGGGGAGCGAACAGGAUUAGAUACCCUGGUAGUCCACGCCGUAAACGAUGAGUGCUAGGUGUUAGGUCCUUUCCGGGACUUAGUGCCGCAGCUAACGCAUUAAGCACUCCGCCUGGGGAGUACGACCGCAAGGUGAAACUCAAAGGAAUUGACGGA